UUUUUGGCCCGGCAUGGACCUAGACCUACACGCGGUGCCCCUGUUCUUGACUGAUUAGGUCUAUAACAUCAAGCUGAGUUUUCCAAUGGGUUUAUAGAUAACUCUCAACAAUGGAUCUCUAGGCUCUUGCAUCGAUGAAGAACGCAGUGAACUGCGAUAACUGGUGUGAAUUGCAUGGCACUUCUAAUCUAACACCAAGCGAAUCAUCGAGUCUUUGAACGCAAACGGCACCCUUCCAGUCCAUUCCAAAGCGGUGGCGGAGGAUGAAGACAAGGGUAUCUCUGGCUGAGGGUAAUGGGAACUGAUCCAGUGUAACCGUUGGUUAGCUGGGGAUUGGGCUUGCUUGGGGUAAUUGCUCUGGCUUGCCUUAAAAUCAAGCGUUGUGUGGAUUGGACUUUCAAGCAUGCAUUGGGGACGCAGGCUCUGCGCUAUGGCAAGCCCUUGACCGUCAUAGGUGCUUUGAUUGGGGUUUUCAGUCUAGCCAACAAGGCUGGGUUGAAGGACUUUGGGGCUGCAUUGGGGGCGCAAGGGCAGCUCUGUUCGUGGCGUCCGAUGACCGUCAUGAUGCAUGCGUGAUUGGACUUCAACUAGCAAUUAUCAUUAUCAUCAUCAUUACUA
rnacentral:rRNA from 1 species